rnacentral:rRNA from 1 species
UCCCUUAGACGUUCUGGGCCGCACGCGCGCUACACUGACCAGUGCAACAAGCAUCCGUCCUUGGCCGACAGGCUCGGGCAAUCUUUGAACGCUGGUCGUGAUGGGGAUAGACUUUUGCAAUUUUUGGUCUUCAACGAGGAAUUCCUAGUAAACGCAAGUCAUCAACUUGCAUUGAUUACGUCCCUGCCCUUUGUACACACCGCCCGUCGCACCUACCGAUUGAAUGGUCCGGUGAAGCCUCCGGAUUGGCGCGCACCUCGGUGCCGCCGAGAAGUUGGCUAAACCUUACCAUUUAGAGGAAGGUGAAGUCGUAACA